UUCUGUUUCCAAGGAAGCGCGUCUUGGUCGCUGCGCAUGCGCUUUAGAUUAUACCUCACCUGUUUCCGUCAACAACGCGGUUCUAUUUACUUCCCUUCUUAAUCAAUGACUGGUUGUUUUUAACCGACAUUUCUUCGUCAAAUGAGGGGCGGCCAUCCGUAUUUAGUUGUUAUAGCGUGUGUUUUAACACUCGUCUUUCCUCUGUGUUGUGAAAAUUUGAGCUCGGGUGAGACUCGGACGAAGUUGAAUGGCUCUGCAGUUGAUUUCAACUCGUUCAAAGAGCAGUUUCACCGCAUGUAUGAGGUCAACAGCGAGGAAUUUAACCGUCGUCAACUUUAUUUUCAGAAUGCCACAGAGCGUUAUGCAUACCUAAACUCAUUCUCCACAACACCACUGUCUGCUAAAUAUGGCAUCAACCGGUUCUCUGACCUCUCACAGAAGGAAUUCAGAGAUCUCUACCUGCGAGCACACACUGACAGAGCUCCUCUCUUCUCUGGACUAAAGACAGGGGGGCUCCCAGCCAAAUUUGAUUGGAGGGACAAAGCAGUGGUGGCACCGGUCCAAAACCAAGAAGCAUGUGGGAGUUGUUGGGCAUUUAGUGUGGUCGGUGCCACACAAUCCGUCCAUGCUAUAGGAGGCUCGCAGCUGGAGCAACUCAGUGUGCAGCAGGUUCUGGACUGCUCCUUCCAAAACAAAGGCUGUAAUGGAGGCUCCCAAGUCCAGGCCUUGAAUUGGUUAAAGCAAACCCGAGUGAAACUGGUGCCUCAGUCAGAGUAUCCCUACAAGGCCAAGACAGGAAUCUGCCAUUUCUUCGCUCAGUCACAUGAUGGUGUUGCUGUGAAGAACUUUACUGCACAUGACUUUAGUGGUCAAGAGGAGGCAAUGAUGGGUCAGCUGGUGGAGCGAGGUCCCUUGGCUGCUAUUGUGGAUGCUGUCAGCUGGCAGGAUUACCUGGGUGGAAUCAUCCAGCACCACUGCUCCAGCCAAAGGUCUAACCAUGCUGUCCUGGUUGUUGGAUACAACACUAUUGGGAAUGUUCCAUACUGGAUUGUGCAAAACUCUUGGGGAACCACAUGGGGUAAUGAGGGUUAUGUUUAUAUAAAAAUCGGUGGAAACGUUUGUGGUAAGUAUGAUCUUUGCCUCUUGUCAUUUUCUGUUUAUAUAUCCUUUUAGUUUGAUGUCUGUAUGUUGCUGUGCCAACUAUCCCUUUAGGGACUAAUAACACAUCCUUCUUUUUUCUCUUCCCAGGUAUUGCAGAUUCUGUGGCUGCAGUUUUCCUUUGAUGUGUGUGUGUGUGUGUCUGUGUGUGCGUGCGUG